rnacentral:rRNA from 1 species
GACGAACGCUGGCGGCGUGCCUAAUACAUGCAAGUAGAACGCUGAAGGAGGAGCUUGCUUCUCUGGAUGAGUUGCGAACGGGUGAGUAACGCGUAGGUAACCUGCCUGGUAGCGGGGGAUAACUAUUGGAAACGAUAGCUAAUACCGCAUAAUAGCAGUUAUUGCAUGAUAACUGUUUGAAAGGUGCAAUUGCACCACUACCAGAUGGACCUGCGUUGUAUUAGCUAGUUGGUGAGGUAACGGCUCACCAAGGCGACGAUACAUAGCCGACCUGAGAGGGUGAUCGGCCACACUGGGACUGAGACACGGCCCAGACUCCUACGGGAGGCAGCAGUAGGGAAUCUUCGGCAAUGGACGGAAGUCUGACCGAGCAACGCCGCGUGAGUGAAGAAGGUUUUCGGAUCGUAAAGCUCUGUUGUAAGAGAAGAACGAGUGUGAGAGUGGAAAGUUCACACUGUGACGGUAUCUUACCAGAAAGGGACGGCUAACUACGUG